rnacentral:rRNA from 1 species
UACGGAGGGUGCAAGCGUUAUCCGGAUUUACUGGGUUUAAAGGGUGCGUAGGUGGGUCUGUAAGUCAGUGGUGAAAUCUCCGGGCUUAACCCGGAAACUGCCAUUGAUACUAUAGAUCUUGAAUAUCCUGGAGGUGAGCGGAAUAUGUCAUGUAGCGGUGAAAUUCGUAGAUAUCGAGAGGAACACCGGUGGCGAAGGCGGCCAACUGGACGAAUACUGACGCUGAGACUCGAAAGCGUGGGGAGCAAACAGG